rnacentral:piRNA from 1 species
UGAGUCUGAUUCCUUGCAGGAUGGGGUGA